rnacentral:rRNA from 1 species
UACGAAGGGGCUAGCGUUGCUCGGAAUCACUGGGCGUAAAGGGUGCGUAGGCGGGUCUUUAAGUCAGGGGUGAAAUCCUGGAGCUCAACUCCAGAACUGCCUUUGAUACUGAGGAUCUUGAGUUCGGGAGAGGUGAGUGGAACUGCGAGUGUAGAGGUGAAAUUCGUGAGAUAUUCGGAAGAACACCGGUGCGAAGGCGGCAUCCUGGACCAAUACUGACGCUGAGGAGCGAAAGCCAGGGGAGCAAACGGGG